rnacentral:tRNA from 1 species
UCCCUGGUGGUCCAGUGGCUAGGACUCUGUGCUCCCAGUGCAGGGGCCCAGGUUCAAUCCCUGGUCAGGGGA